rnacentral:rRNA from 1 species
CCCUUGCGACUGCGGAGGGACAUUACCGAGUUUACAACUCCCAAACCCCUGUGACAUACCUUAAUGUUUCCUCGGCGGAUCACCCCGCGCCCCGUAAAACGGGACGGCCCGCCAGAGGACCCAAACUCUAAUGUUUCUUAUUGUAACUUCUGAGUAAUACAAACAAAUAAAUCAAAACUUUCAACAACGGAUCUCUUGGUUCUGGAAUCCAUGAAUAAGGCAUCAAAAUGCAAUAAGUAAUGUGAAUUGCAGAAUUCAGUGAAUCAUCGAAUCUUUGAACGCACAUUGCGCCCGCUGGUAUUCCGGCGGUUGUGCCUGUUCAAGCGUCAUUUGAACCCUCAAGCCUCCGGGUUUGGUGUUGGGGAUGGGGUCUGCCCUUCUGGGCGGUGCCUCCCCCGAAAUACAUUGGCGGUCUCGCUGCAGCCUCCCUUGCGUAUUAGCUAACACCUCGCAACUGGAAUGCGGAUCGGCCAUGCCCUAAAACCCCAUCUUCUGAAUGUUGACCUCGUAUCAUGUAAGAAUACCCGCUGAACUUAUGAAUAUCAAAAAUUGGAUGAAAAGGGAGAAA